rnacentral:rRNA from 1 species
AUGAGCCUACGGGGGGCAGCAGUGAGGAAUAUUGGUCAAUGGACGAGAGUCUGAACCAGCCAAGUAGCGUGAAGGAUGACUGCCCUAUGGGUUGUAAACUUCUUUUAUAUGGGAAUAAAACAGGGUAUGCAUACCCUCUUGUAUGUACCAUAUGAAUAAGGAUCGGCUAACUCCGUGCCAGCAGCCGCGGUAAUACGGAGGAUCCGAGCGUUAUCCGGAUUUAUUGGGUUUAAAGGGUGCGUAGGCGGUCCGUUAAGUCAGCGGUAAAAUUGCAGGGCUCAACCCCGUCGAGCCGUUGAAACUGG